rnacentral:rRNA from 1 species
UAUUAUAUUAAUAAACAUGUCUUGAUCCUAAAUCAUUAAUAGAUAUAAUCUUUAAACUUGAAGAAUUUGGCGGUGGUUUAGUCUUGUUAGAGGAACCUGUUUUUGGAUCGAUAAACCACGUAAAAUUUUACUUAUUUUAUUAGUUUGUAUACCGUCAUUAUCAGAUAAUUUUUAGAGAAUUAAUCAUUAAAAUUUCUUUUAUGUAAAUUAAAUUAGAUCAAGGUGCAGCUUAUAGAUAAGCUAAAAUGGGUUACAAUAGAAUUUAUCUAUAUGGAGUAGUAAUAGGAAGUAAUUGUACGAAGGCGGAUUUAAUUGUAAUAAAAAUUUAACAAGUUUUAAAGAUAUAAGCUCUAGACCAU